AGCCCAGGCUUAAAACCCAAAGGACUUGACGGUGUCCCACCCACCUAGAGGAGCCUGUUCUAUAAUCGAUUCCCCCCGAUCUACCUCACCACUUCUAGCCUCUCAGCCUGUAUACCUCCGUCGUAAGCUUACCAUAUGAAUGACCCCCAGUGAGCUAAAACAUUAUUCAUAAAUACGUCAGGUCAAGGUGCAGCCCACGAUGUGGGAAGAAAUGGGCUACAAUUUCUAUAUUAGAACACAACGAAAGACUACAUGCAACUCAGUCAUGAAGGCGGAUUUAGUAGUAAAAAGAAAGUAGAGAGUUCUUUUUAAUUAGGCGCUGGGACGCGUACACACCGCCCGUCACCCUCUUCAAACGCUAUAAUUACGUUUAUAACACUUUUAUGCACCACAGAAGAGGUAAGUCGUAACAUGGUAAGUGUACUGGAAAGUGCACUUGGAUAAA
rnacentral:rRNA from 1 species